rnacentral:lncRNA from 1 species
UUUUUUUUUUUUUUUUUUUUUUGUUGUCAUUCCUGCCUAAAGAUGUUAUCGUUCUUUACUAAAGAAUUGUCAAAGUAGGGUAAACCGUGGGUGUCCUUUUGUCAGCAUUUCUGGAUUAACAACAAUAUAGGUGAGCAUGGACGGAUACACCCACAGACGCAUUUGUAGAAACGUGUAUAUCCAAAUAUGGGAGUGCAGGAGAUCCAUCUAUAUGUUUCUUUUGUAACUUUGCUUUUAACUUUUGACUUGGCUACAAAAGUACAAAAUGGUAAAGCAUUAGGUACUUUUUUUUUUUUUUUUUUUAAUUUUGGAAACGUAGUCCUAAUGUUAUUAGUAUAAAAUAGUGGCAACUAGCGAGGUGUUUAUAGCUAGGAAAAAUUGAACUAAAAGAAAAAUGAACGACUUGGGGUGAAAACGAGUCUAUGAACAAAGAUGAGAAGAUCCAACUACCUAUAUUUCUUGUAGUUUUUUCUUUCAUGGCCAUAUUAUUUUAAGUUCCCUCGACUAUCUUAAAACGUAGCAAUUACAAAUUUUCAAAGCUAUUCAGAAACUUGUACUGAAUAGAAACUGUUCAUAAUUGUUCUUUGCUGCACCAACUUGCUCCAUCGAGCAAUUGAGUUUUAUUGGGGACUAGUAACAGUACAACAGUGUAAUGGUCAAUACCCAAAUGAAAGUAAAACAAUAAUACCAAAACUGAUCCACAUAGCUGAAAAGCUAGGCAUAGAUAAAGUUAGUGAAAAAACAUGGAGGCAAAAAACUUCCUUUAUACCUUUAAGAAUAGAAUUCUGCCAAUCGAUCCGACCUCAAGAUACAAGACAGACUUACCAGCAGCUAACAGAUAAUCCCUUGUGUAUAAAGCCAAAAUGAUUAUUGAUUUGUGGGUACUUAUCAGAUGGGGACUUCAAACGCGACAUCUGUUGAUUAUCUUUGAGGUGUAAAAAAAAAAAAUAAGAAUCCUCUUUUGUAAUUUUACUGUCCUAUCCCUUUCCUUUAAUCCAGAAUGAGGUAUGUCAUCUUGUUUACAAUCUUUAGUAGUUCUCCAAAAUAGCUGAUUUGUGGAAUCAAUCUCCAUUGUGUGUGUGUGCGUGUGUUUUUUUUUUUAAGUUAGAUAACAAAAAAUGAAAAAAAAAUUGGUUUAAAUAAGUAAAGUUGAAUUAAACAUUCAGCUUCAUAAAAAGUUAACUGCCAAUUUUCUCUCCUUAACUUUUUUACUCCUUUAUAUACAUGAAAAAUUGAUCAAUCUUCUACUAAUGUUUAUCCAGAGCCGGCCUGAACUAAAACUUUCCAUAUGCUUUCUGCAGACUGCCUUCUAAUUUUUUUUUUUUAAAAAAAAGACCCUCCUAACACGGUUAAUGGUUUCCCCCCACACCCCCCCCCUCCUCCUCGCUAGUUAUAUUAGAAGCAGGAUUUCCUUUUUCUAAAACUGCACAAGCUAAGUUUUGCUACUGUUCUAGAAGACUAGGAACUUAUGCGUGUGUCUUAUUCGUCCCAUCCGUUUGCUCUUUCUUGUUAAUUCUAGAAGACAUUGACGUGAAACAAAAGUAGCACUUAGUAUAGUAAGUAAUCACGCACUUCACUCUUAUAUUAGGUUUCACACUAUAAAUACAAACAUUGACAUUUAUUGACCCCCAAAUAAAUGCAAAUACAGUUAUUUACACAAACCCUUUUUUUUGCAUGCAUAUCCACCAACUUUUCCCCUAGAUUCUUUUCUGACAGGACAUACAAUAAAUAUAUCUAACUGAAACACAUUUUUUCUUUCUUUAUUAAAAUGUUCUUGAUAUCAUCUUGCUCUAGAAGCAUUUGAUCCAGCCAUUGUCCUGACCUCUUGUUCUUUCCCUUCUUUUCCCCCAGUUGACUAAUACGCGGCUUAAAUACCUACCCGUCGUCUAGACAUGCAUAUUUAUUAAAUCCUCCCCAACAAGAAAAUCAUCAUUUGCGUCCACCAAGCAUUUUAUCCUUCUCCUUUCUUAUUACACUACUCUCCAAUUCUCAACCAAAAUGGAUGAUGAUACCAAGAACAAAACUCCUCAUCUCCAAGAUGAUCACCAUCAGCUAGCUGCGGCAGAAACAGAAGAAGCAGAUGAAGCCCUUUCCCUUAGCGGGCUUAUCUUAAACUCGGAUGAAAUCGAGGUCCAAGAUCGAAGAAGAUCAUCCUUUUCUGAUCCAUCAGAGCUUUUCGAGUUCUUGAGCGACAAAAACUCCCAGAUGUCGCAUGCAGAAGAUAUCAUUUUCUGCGGUAAGCUUAUGCCAUACCAAGAAAACCCCUCUCGUCUGCCCAAUGCUCACAAUUUCCACAAGCAUCAUCAACUCACCAGACAUGAGAAACAACAAAGCUUCCAUCGUAGAAGAUCCGAGUCGUUAAGUGACCUAAAAACCAGCCUGUCCAACAGUGCUAGAAGAAACCAGCAUCAGUUCAUGAGGGCUAGCCGGUCUUUAGACUGCCGAAAGUUGUAUGGAAACAAGUACAACUCCCCCUCGGCAGCGGGCGGUUUCGCCAGGGCUGAAAAAGUAGAGAUUGAGCGGAGCUCGUCGACGAGAAGUUCGAACAAGGGUUUUAAUGCCACUGGGAUGAAAGAAAAGACUGCAAGACCAAGGUGGUACAUGAUGUUUGGGCCUGUGAGGUUUCCACCGGAGAUGGCUUAUCAAGAUAUAAAGAGCCGGCAAGUGCGGCAGAGUCCCGGAAGUUUGUUUACGUCAUUGGAGUCCCGCGAGAAGGCCAUUGUGAACCGGCCGCAAGAUCGGAGAUGGUCGGGCUCUUGGGAUUUGCUUAGGGUAUUAAGCUGCAAGGGCCAUGCAAGUGUAGCUGUAACGGCGUCGUUUGGCUGCCUGCAGGCGCAGCACAGUAUUUGAAUAGUUGACAUUGCCUCUGUCAUGUGCGUACCUCACGUGACUACUAAUACUUUGACAUAAUUGUCCAUGGGGGACGUGGAUGGAACUGGCUGAUUGGGCUGUGAAGAGGAAGGGCAAAAUGGGGUGUCUAGAAAGAGACAUCACGUAGAAGAGAAGAUAGUGUACUGUGAGACCACAUGGUUAAUGAUGAUCAUGACGCCUCAGAUGUAAUGAAGAAGGGUAGAAUAUUUUGUCCUCCAAUUUGUGUAGGGCCAUUUGAAAAAAUUAAUGGGGAUCACGGGGUCCCAAUGACGACAUGAAUUUGGUAUUUAUUUUGGGGAGUACAAUUUUUAAAUUUCUAACUUAUUAGGGGAAUUUUUCCAGCCUUGGCAGUUUGUUAUUUGGAAUGUUUGUGUGUUCUUGAAGUCGGCCAUUUUUUUUUUUAAAAAAAAAUCUAUUGUGUAUGGAUGUAAUUUGUCCUUCAAGUACAGUACUACAAAAAUUAUAGAGAUAAACGUUCUCAUCUCAAUUCCAACUUGAGAUAGGAAAACAAGUAGCAGCAGUAGAAUAUUUAAAUAACGAGGUUGCUGUAUAUUGCCAUGCGCUAUAUGGUGAUUGUUGAGCCUUUACGCAUUCUUGCGAUAAAAUUAUACCUCUGAUUUGAGCACUAAUGUUUCAGUGAGGUCCAGAAAGGCAAAGGUAAUAUUUGUCGAAAACCAUGAUUUAGAAAAGGAGCUUAUAGUACAUCAUAUAAACCGACAACUACAGAAAAAACUACAAAGAUGUCCCCGAAGACGGAUAUUCACAAGGACAUAAGUGAAAAUUUCUAGUGUUUGAAGGGGAUAAAAGGUACUUUCAAAAUCUUGGGACGCAGAAACUAAUUCCUACAAGAACAUAUGAAUAAUAUUUACAGUUAAUUUCUUAAGAAAUAUAGAACUGCUGCUGAUGAUGAUGCAAGUAAAAUAAAAAGAUAGUUGAAAAACGUGCUGAUGAUGCAAGUAAAUAAAACUCGGUAAAUAAUUCAUUAAUUGUUACUUUGACAGUGGCCUUCAUAUUAUUGUCUUCCUUGAUCAAGUAAUAUGUGAUCCUCGAUCGUUUAUCUCAUGCAAAAUGUCUAGGGCUGGUGGGGUGAGUGGUGAUGGGUAUACGGGUGAUGCCUGUGAACACUUUAACAGAAAAAUCUCUGUUCAGCACGAAAAUGAACCCAUUCAUUUCAUUGUCAAUGGAUCUGCAUUAGCAGCCUACCCCUUCAUAAUUCACCAUUGACGUCAGUGCUGUUAUCCUAUUAUCUUCGUCAUGAAGAUAGACAGAAUAAAGGUCGAAAUCCCUAAAAGUUAAUUAAAUAGCACUAGAUUUAACUUACAUAAUAAACUGUUGUUUUCAUUCUAAGUAUUUUUCACGUAAUUUUGAAAUGUCACAUGUUUCACCAUUUUCAGGAAUUAUGUAUAAGAAACGUAUGGUGAUCAUAUAGAUCGUAGGACCAAAUAUGAGUACUACAAACAACGUGCAAGGAACAUAUUUUAGACCCCCGUCCUACGUUAAUUGGCCAAGUUAAUUAGAUCCAUUUGAGUAACAAUACUCUCUGGCAAUAUUGUUAGACUUCAUAUUCUGAAGUUUUAUUCAUGAAAAUUUGGAUCGAAGUUUAUUUCCAAGAUAUUAUUUGCUUCCAUUUAGAAACAUGUUUUUCAAUCAAUCAAUUUAUUUUUUCAACUACUUUUUUAUCUUGUACACAUCACAUCAUAAAAAAUAUUACAGUAAUUAUUUUACAUAUAUAAUCUCAUAUCCAAACAAAUGUUGUCAUAGGGUUUUAAUAUCUCCAAUUUUAGUGACUUAACUUUUGUAUUUGGGUGAAAAGUCUGGAGUUGAGUAGCUGGGACAUGUGCAUAAUCGCGUGCACUAGAAGUUUUUGUACCACAUUAAACAGUUUGGAUGCCUUCUUCAGUUUGAAAUUCUACAGCAAACCAAUUUGAUAGUGAUUGGAUAGCCAAUCAACCAACGAGACUUCUUAUGAUGUAAUGUAUGCGAGAUAAAACGGUAGUUGAAAAAUAUAUUAAGUGAAUACGAGGUCUCCACAAUAUCCAGAAAAAGUUUUCCACAAAACUAACAAUCAAAACAAGCAAAGUGGGAAAAAACAAAAAAAUUUUGUUACUAAAAGUUUAUAAAAACCAAUUCAAGAGCAUUAUGUAGAAAGCUAACAGUAAGGUGCGUGGCGUACUUUUCUCUUGCGGUUGAAACAUCCAUGAUUUCCUUUUUGCUGGCUUAAUUUGCUUCAAUGAGUAACCGAGCAUUAUGUUUUGCUUCACAUUGAAGCUUGUUCUCCGUUGAUAUUUCUCUCUUCAUCUCUUUUAUUGCAUUACAGCUCAACUACCCUAGUAAUUAAAGUGUCGUGCAUCUUUAUAAUGACGGGACAAAGAAAAACAUCGGAAGUGAUAAACUAAAUAGUACGCUCUAUGUCAAUUGUCAUGAAAAAAAAAAAAAUCAAGACAUUCGUUACUACACUUCACUUAUCUGCAUUGUUUGGAUUGUAGUUUUCUAUCAAAAUUCUUUUUCAUAAAUAUAUUUUUCAAUCAUCUUUUUAUUCCACGCUCUAUGUAGUAUAUGUAUGUAUGCUUUUGACAAGAUUUAUAUAUUGGAACUUCAUUUAAAUAUGCACAAGAUUUUAACACUCUCUUAAUUUUUGUUUGAAAACUAAAAUUUUUUUAAUAAACAUGUUUACUUUUUUAUUAUACAAUCAAUCUUUUUAGCUUUCAAACUGACAAUAUUUGAAUAGUUAGAAAACUAUUUUGUUCUAAAACAUAAAUAAAAUAGUGAUAAAUAAUGCUAUAUUUUUAAAACCAGUGACAUAUUUUUGUUUUAUAUUUGACUAUAUUAUUUAUUUAUGUAAAAGUAAGAUAAAAUUAAAUUAAAUCUUCGAUUAAUACCUAUAUAAUCAUUAUAUAUCUUUCUAAGUGCAAUAAUUACAGUCUAAAAGCAUUUUAUUAGAUAUUUUAUGUAUAUUAAAAUUACUAUCUUAUAUUUAUAAAUAUUAAAUUAAUACUUACCGAUUCAUUCACUAAUUGAACCAGUGACCAAUUGACUCAAUUCCUUCGUGGGAGCCCUUGUCCCACCAAAUUUAAUAACUAUGGUUUUAGCAACCCUAGCCAGCCCACAUUCCUUUUUUUUUUUCGGGCUAGACUAAUUCCACUCCGGCCUGGAAAAGGAGGUCCCACUCCACUCCAAGCACAGUAACAAGGGGGCUCGAAUCUUGAUUGUCCAGAUAAAUCUAUCAUAUUCUAAAGAGAGAAAGCUGACCGCUCGAGCUGAUCCUCGUGUACGUUAAUUUUGUAGUAUGACAUAUGGAAUGCGCAGAAGACUCAGAACGGAUAGGAUGUCACGCGAUUUGCAUGAAAUGAGGGUCUGCUAACGUUAAAUGUGAACAGAUAGCGUCCAUUUGACGGACUUGUCAGCUGGGGACAAGUCAAGGAGGUCAGCUUAAUUUGGCACCGGUACUUUUGGUUUAAUUCUAGUGUGGACAGAUGCAAUACUACAAAAAAUGAGGUCAUUUUUUCAUUUUGACCUAGCUCCAAUCCAUCAGUCUUAAGAGCAACAAUGGCGUAUGUUAAAAGAGAAUUUAAGAAUUCACCUAGUACUUAAAUGGAAAAAUUCAUAUCAUUAGAUUUCAAAGUGAAUAAAUUUACUCAUUAAGCUGUUAUAACAUAAUUUUUGUGUUUUUUUUUUCUAACAACUGAAUGAGGUUCAACUCUGAUCUGUGCAUCUAAGAAAACUCUAAGAAUUAACUCAUAAGGAUACUUGCCAGUGUUGGGUGCGUUGGGUUAAUUUCAUUUUGUACCCUUGAACAAUAUCCGAAUUUUCACUUUGAUUUCUAAAUUUCAAAAUGGGACGCAUUAGUUUAAUCCCUAUAUUAUAAAAUUUGUCAUAUUUAAUCCGUAAAGUAUAGUACUUUUGCCCAAUUUAGUCCCCAAAGUAUACCCGCUAAGGUAUAAAAUCUGUCCCACUUCCUUGAGUAAGACAAAUUUUAUAGUGUAAGAACUAAAGUGUCUUAUUUUAAAGUUUAGGAAUUAAAAUGAAAAUUUGGAAACAGUUGAAGGGGUGCAAAAUGGAAUUAACCCGGGUACGCUUGAUUGAUUAGUUAUCCAUCCUUAAGAAUGGAGGGGCUUUCAUGCCUGCAUCAUUCACGUCAAACUUCAUGAGAGCCGGACUGGGUUUGUAUUAUUUGGGGCUUCCAAUAGUUAUGACCAAUAACAAAAUUACCCAAUUAGAGACUCCAUCUUCUUCCUAUAUUGCCUAAAAAAUGAAAGGAAACAAGAGUACAGUGGUAAAAGAGCAUGAAACUCAACAACUAGAAGCACAAGAUAACCAUCUAGAAUGCCAGGCAUCCAAUUUAGAAAGGGAGCAUGCAGCAAGUUAAAGGUAAAACAAGUAAAAGCAUGUGGUAUUUCAAAAUAAUGCAGCAUAUACCAUCCACAGAAUUUGUUUACUAGAGAUGAGCUAAAAUAUCUACCAUGAAAAUACACCAAGAUUAAGGAGCUAAUUCAAUACAAUGCAAGAAAAGUAGCAAUGUGUCCAUAUAAAACACUAAUGGAGACAAUAACACCUCUUUUACAGGCAAAAAGUGGCCAAGAGUCCAAGAUUCGACAUAAACUUUAACAGGUUCCUUUACUCAAAGUCUCCUACACAGAAACUGUGUUCUCAUGUUGACCAGUUAUAUCAUACAGUGCUAAAUAUAAAUCAUUGGUGCAGAAAAGUCGGUUUUUGGGCUCAUACUCCCAUUGAGAGCCAUCACGGGACAUGACUCCUAUACCAGUAUGUGAUAUACAUAAAUGUAAGUACCAUUCAAUGCUGAGACAACUAAUACAAAAUUUAGACUAACUUGGAUGCACCACUUGACCAGUAUAUAUCUCCACAAACAAUAAAAGAAUUUAAGUAGCUGCAGAUAUCCUAAGAAAAACCCAGAAACUUGGAUUGCCAUUGGAAAAAAAGAAGUCAACAACUUCAAGAUAAAUGGCAUAUCUCUGAUUACAUAAAGAAGCAAGAAUCAGGGAAAAUCAAGUCAAAGGGUGGUUCCUUGGUUUCUCAUCAUCAUCUUCUUCUUCCUCCUUUUUUCACUUCUCAGAAGAAAAUUUUGGACACUCAAAUGACAGUAGAAACUACUACGGGAAGCAUACACAUCUUAUCAAAUGGACCGAGCUAUGGCUCUAACAUUUCAAACAUUAAAGAUGAAAAAUUGAAAUCCUGAAAAAUUAGAUCAGCAGCAAAAUAAAUCUUUCUUUAGGGUGAUUAAAAUUAAAAUCUUUCCUAAGAUGAGGGAGUACAAAGUAAUCAACUGUUUAAGAAUAAGUAGCAAAUAGAUCUCUAGAUUUUCUCCCUACUUUGAGAAGAGUUUAAUUAGCACAUUCAUUUGUAAGCUUGAAACCAUCUUAAGAGUUAUUCUAUUGGCAUUAUGUCACCUCAUAAUCUUCAAGUAUUCAUUUCAUUGACUCACAUGGAGCAUGUACAACAUAAAAGCAACUGCCGCAUAUUUUCCAAAAAUGCAUCGGAUAUAAAAGCAUAGCAGCAAUGCAAGAACAAACAUGUGAUGGCUAAUCGAGGUCCAAUUCAACAAGAAACUUAUAUUGAUAGCGAUUUUCUAUCUACGUUCAGUAAUUUAAUUUUUCCGUCAUGUUCCUUGUACAUAUUUACUAUUUGCAGGUGUUAAGAUCCAGAUAGCAUGUAUUUUAAUUGGAAAAGCACGUGAAACAGUAUGUAUACGCUCAAUUACACAAAGCAAGUGCCUUAACAAUGUUUGAACAGAAUAUUUCCUGUCAGAAUGGUGAAUCAAGGUUACAGGCAACUGAUCAGGAAAUGCUAUAGGGUAAAACAUCAUAAACUACAUAUCUCAGCAAACAUACAGGAAUGUAAAAGAAUUAAUUUUCUGCCGACCAGAAAAAUAAAAACCUGAAAAAGAAAAACAACCAGUUUCAUGCUUAAUUGCACAUGUAAACCCCACUUGCAAACCUGUCAUCCACCUCAUAAAAAUCUGUCUUACCCUCAGAAGCAGGACGCAGAGAAAUUCCAGACAAAGAUUUACUUCCUUGUCCUGAAAAUUUAACAUGGCAAACCACUUCAAAAUCUAUAUCAUCAUCUUCAUCACCAAUAUCCACAGGCAUCCUCACUCUUAAUCUACCAGGAUUGCCCUUAAGGGGAAUCUCAGGAACAUGCCAUUUGAUUUCCUUCUCAGACCUAUUCAAGACUGCUUUUGGUGAAACCUUCAACAGUGUUGGGUCUACAGGCAGUUUCAGGACAAAUGUCACAUCGUUCAGCGGUGCUGGUAAAUCUGGAUUUGACACAUAUUGUAUCAUUACAGAAAGUAAAGUCCCACUGAGACGUUUGACAAGUCUAACCCUCAAAGGCAAUGGAGUCAAACGUGGUAACAAACUAUACUUGACAAUUGGAAUAGGUUCUCCUGAUGGAGCAGUCCUAACAUGGAACAAACCAUUUCCAAGGCUACUUACACGUGAGCUUUGCAGUACAAACCUCUUAACACUGCCUGUAUUCUCAACUUUAAAUGAAAACUCAGUCUCUCUAUCAUCAGAAGGCUUUGGAGGUAAUGUCCUCAAGUAAACAACACCCGUCAAUCCAACUCUAGCAAGCAAUGAUUCCCUGAACUCUGCACUAAUCUCUUCUGCAAUGUACAUUUCCGGACCCUUCAUUUCAGUUUUCUUUACCAACACAUCCUCGAGAUUCUUACCAGCACCGUCAGCAGCAGCUGCAGCAGUCUUGACUGGCGGAUCACUAGUUUCUAACAAUUCAAGCCCACCAAGCCCCUCAUGUUUCUUGACCUUCUUUGACUCCACAUAAUCAGAAGCAUCCAAUCCCCCACCCCAAGCAUCACUAAACCCUUCGAAGUCUUCGCGUAACGUUGACCCGUCAUUGCUAAACUCAAUUCCGCCAUAGUUCCCUUCAAAGCCUUCAACACCUAUAUGCGUGGACUCAGUAGCCGCAGCAGGUGGCAGUGUAGUAACCUCAAGCCCCGCCAAUGCCUUAGUCAAAUCUGAACUCUGAUCCUUGUCCUUCUUAAACCCUUCCACAAGAGACGCAGGCUGGUUAAUCUUCUCACUGGCUGCAAAAGGAUCCUUCUCUUCCUCCUCCUCCUCUACCUCACCUUCUUCCUUCUCAUCACCCUGACCACCACUGAACGCCAUCGUGGCAGCCACUUCAUCCCCAGCCUCCAAAGUCUCCUGAGGCAAUUCAAACACAGCCUUGGAGAAUGCUUCCAAGCCACCCUCAUGUUCCACAGAAUGCACCUCUAAAUUAACCCAACUAUCCGCCCCACGGAUUUUAUUCUCCGUAUUGAUAGCAGAAUGCACCAUUUUAGCAAUGCUAUCACCGUGCAUGGUGGCAAGCAUUGCCGCAAGCCUAAUGCUACUCACACCCCUCAAAACUAUAUCCAAAGCCAUAUAAAUUUCAGCAUAUUUCUUACUUAACUUCUCAGGGGUAACAUCUACACCCCGGCAAGCCGUGACAACAACACUAACAGCCUGAUUAACAAUACUAAUGCAUUCAAAAACAUUAUUAUUGGUCUCAUCAGCAGUAGUAAUUCCCAAAACAUAAAUUGAAUUAACUAAACGGUAAACGACCCGAUACCGGCUUUCGACGCCCACAAUCACUUGACCGCUCGAGGCGGCAAGUGGGUCGUCACCGAGGGAUGAAGGGUCGGCGGAGGAGUUGUCAGAAUUGGAGGCGACGGCAGCGGAUUGUUGUUUAGAGGAAAAUGCUAAGCGGGUUUUGCGGAAUGCUGAAAGGGCCAUCAGGGCCCGAGAUGGGGGAAACCAUUCACGGGUUUGGAGCAAAACGUCGGGCCCAUUUGUGGGUUGAAGGGAUAGUGCUAAACAGGACAUCGGGGUUUAAUCUGGAUUGGAUCAGAUCUUACGAGGUUUUUCCUUUGUAUAAUUCUUUUUGAGUUUGGAAAUGAAAUCAAAGGUAAUGGGGAUUGAAUACUUACUUGAAUGAGAAUUUGAGCUGGGUAUCGAUGAUUUUGGAGCUUCCUGUGAUGAUUGUUUGUUUAUUACAGAGAUCGGAGCUCUGGUGCGUAUGAGAGAGAGAGAGAGAGAGAGGUGAAAGAGGAAAGGCAGAAGGAAUGGACCCGGGUAGACGAACCUCAAAGAAGGUUUGGGCUGGGCUGAAAGUUGGAUCUUUGGGUGGGUUGGGGUAAAUUUAGGUUAUACAAUCAUUGGCUGAUUUUCUCCCCUUUUUUUUUUUGUGAUAUAAUUGAAUCAAUUCUUUUCACCUUAUUAUUCAAUCCAACCCUUCUUCUUAUUUAAUCCAACCCUUCUUCGAUUUUCUUCCUUUUAUAAUGUCGUUUUUCUUUAAAAGUUGAUAAUUUGGUUAAUUUAUUUUACUCGUCUUCCUUUUGUUCAAAUGAACCGCAAAGAGACUUUUUUUUGGUUGAAAAAAAAAAGAAAUUACAAGAACGUGUUUUUUGGUACAAAAAGUAUUGGUUGAAAAAAUUUUGAACGAUUUUGGCUCUAGUCAUAAGUAGAUUCUAGUUAGUGACCAUUGAAGUGUGCUUAAUCUACUCUCUCUUUCUUUUUUUACUCGUCUCGGGCAUGCGAGUUUUUGUGAAAAAAUAGUCCGAUCUUACCAACUAUAAAGCAUGUUAAAGGUACAAAAUGUCUCUAUGCACUUUGAAUUCAGUCCUUUUUGUGCAUUUUCAAUUAUGGAACUUAGAUCAUGGGUUUGGGCCAAGUUAGUGAAACCUUGAACUACUUUGCCUUAAUUGGCCUUCAGGGUCAGUGGAUCUAUUUCCGGCGCAACAGUACAUUUGAAAGAGACUGGUGUACUCUCUGUACAAAUAAUUGUACAUCUCAAGAAACUUUUCCCGAGCUGGAAAGCCAGUACUAAAUGAUUUACGAACCCUUUGGCGCCUUGCCUAUUCAAAAUUCCAAAUGCGGUACCACCAAUGAACCCAGCAGCCCUCCUGCAACACCCUCUUCCCACCCGCACCACGAAAUGCACCACCGGUUGCCCAAUCCUCGACAGCUUCUUACACGGCGGCAUCCCUUGCAACUCAAUUACAGAGAUAGUCGCCGAGAGCGGCUGCGGCAAAACCCAAAUCUCCCUCCAACUCCUCCUCUCUGCUCAACUUCCGACCUCCCUCGGUGGUCUCUCCGCCUCCUCGCUUUACCUCCACUCCGAGUUCCCCUUUCCCUUCCGCCGCCUCCACCAGCUUGCCCUCUCAAACCCCACUCUCCAAAAUCCGUUAGACAAUAUACUAAUCCAUCCUUUACAUUCUGCGGACCACCUGCUCGACUUAUUGUCCCGCCUGGAUCCCCUCCUUGUACACCCACCACCGCAGACCCGUCUCCCUAUUAAACUCAUUGUUAUUGAUUCCAUUGCUGCUUUGUUUCGUUCUGAAUUUGAUAAUAACCCGAGUGAUUUGAAGAGGAGGUCGGGUUUAUUCUUUAAGAUUUCGAGCAAGCUCAAGGCACAGGCAAUGCGGUUUGGACUGGCUGCGGUGGUUACUAAUCAGGUUACGGAUAGUGUCGAUUCUUCGGAUGGAUUGAGGAUUGGGAACUCUUGGUUUCUUUAUUCUUCUGGGAGGAGGGUCUGUGCUGCACUUGGGUUAUCUUGGGCUAAUUGUGUGAAUACAAGGCUCUUCUUAUCGCGAGAUGAGGAAAAUGUUAAAGACGAUGAUGGUGACAUUGUCAAUACAAGAACGAGGACAAGGAGAUUCAUCAGCGUUGUAUUUGCGCCGCAUUUGCCUCAUUCAUCAUGUGAGUUUUUUAUUGCAAAAGAAGGGGUUUUGGGGUUUGAUAGUUGCAAUGACUUCCAUUUAGAAAAUAGAGAGCUCUAAUGAUGCAAAAGGUGAUGAUAAAAGAGGCAAAUCUGGGUUUUCUUCCCUUGUCUUUUUUACUUUAAUUUUUCUCUGUUUUGUAAUUAAUGCGAUCGGGCUGAAGAAAAAUGUAAGAGAAGUUUUGCAAUAGACUGGGGAAAAUUUCCCACUGUUGUGGGUUUUGUACAGCAUGUAAAAUUUCAUUUAAUUUGUGAGACAUCAUUCCUCUUUGCUCGAGGUAUUCUCUGAAUCUGUGAAUUUCUGUAAUGCAUUGACAAAUAACAUGGAAUUUUUUUUUUAAGACCCCGAAAAUGGUAGUUUUCCUAACGAUAAUCAAUAAAUAUUCACAGAGAACACUGAAGUGAGAGGCACUUGAUUACAUUCAAUUUACCAACUGAAGAACUGCAUUCGAUCUGCUGAACCAGUAUGUUGCAUACAAUGUGAAAACCUCUAUUAUAAGGACUAAAACAACCACAUGACUUAAAUUCUAUCGAUAUUACGCCUCAUAUUUGAAGCUCAGACUGAAUGGCUGUACUUUGUCCAUGCCCCAUACUCGUUCAACAUUUUGGAACUUGUGUUGAAGUCCCCAGGAUCUCUGCUAGUUCAUUUCUCCCUGACAAAUAACUGUGAAUGCAGCAACUGAUGUUCAGCAUGCUUCAUGGUAGGUGGCCCUCUUUAAACUGGAAAACUCUUGGUAACUAAAUGGAACGUCUUUUGAGUAAUAUAUGAUGAAUACUUGCAAUACUCGUAUCAAGGUCGCCCUGUUUAAGUUUCUCAUCGGAUUAAUGAAAUAAAAGGUAAAUUGUAAAAUCAGGGAUCAAACUGAAAGUAUAACACGGCAGGAAAGAAUUUUUAAGAAGUCUUUCUUUGCUUGCAAGUUGCAAUCGUUAAUUUAUUGAACUUCGUUUCCGGCCAAAUUCUAUUUUCCUUUUUAGUACAUGGCCGAGUUACUCAAACCUGUCACCAAUGCAGGCAAUCAGUAGAUUUUUUGUGCUUGGGUUCUUUGGAGACUGGCUAAUUUCAAAAAAUGUCCCAUCAAAGUUUGAUGCAUAACAGCAAGCUUGAUUAUUAACUUCAGCCAGUUAACACGAGAUCCUAAAGAAUUUGAAAAGAGUGAAGACAAGUGCCAGAGUUGCCCGUGGUCACAUCUCCAAUUAUCUAAGAGAUGCAAACCCCACCCCCACCCCUCACCUAAAAGGAAUAUAUAAUUAUGUUUUUCUGUGUAAUGACGCGCAAAGACAAGAUACUGAAACAAUUAGAACAAGGGAGAACAGGCAGGAAGAGAAGCUAUGGUCAUAAAACAUUUCUGUGAGUAGGGAAAGAUUAGGUAAACCCCCACUAUUUUUUAUUUCCAAACAACAAAUUUCAUUACUGAACAGCAAAAUACAUCCUACACCAAGAAGGAAAAUAUUCUCCAAGAGGGAAUCUUUUUAGCAGGUGCCUGAUUUGUACUUCUAAAAAUAGCAGUGUGUGAAAUGAUCACAUGCUAGUAGCCCAAUAACGGAGAAACACAGACUACUGUCGAUAAAGUCACAAGCUUACCUGUUUUCAUGCUCAUUAUCAAUAAGCUACAACUUGGUCUCAGUUUGAGUAGAACAGGAAAGGAACUGCAAAAAUAUAAAGACAAUUAGCCAAAUAAAAAUAAAGCAACAACAACAACAACAUUCAAAAUGAUCCAAAGCUGAAAUUUUUACUCUUUCCUUUCUCCACCUAACAGUAUGCAGCCUCCUCAAUCAGCAAGCAGAACAACAAGGCUAUAACAUCAAGUUACCAUUUACCAAAAUUCAUUUCCAAUAAAGAAGUUAUCAUCUUCCUAACUUUAUAAUUAUCUUGACCUAAAAGUGGUGAACCUAUUCCCAAACCCCAAAACAGGUAGCAAAACCAGCAAAUAAGCAAUGCACAGAGCCUCAACAAACUAAUAUAGUCAAAUUCUGCAAACCCACAAAUAAGCGAUGAACAAAGAGGUUCUAUAAACAACUACAGUCGAAUUCUGUACAUCUACCUGCCAAAAGCUUAACAGGUAAACAGUAUUGCAUAUCACUAUGUUUACAGCAAUUCAAGGUACGGAUUGCCUAGACUUCCUAUGCUUUGGAGGAAAAUUGUUAUGUACCUAGUUUGUAGAAUGUUUGAUAUACUUGGUAAGUACUCAAGAGAGUACAAAAAGAAGUAACUAAUGCCAACACCACUUCACAAUGAUAAUGAUGCAAAUUCAACAUUUUGGCCUUCCUAUAGGUAAAGCAGGUCUUGGAGAAGGAUGCCAAUCAUGUCCACGAUGUUUUAGAUUGUUACGAUAAUAGAAGAUAUCCUUUAAGCAACACAAAACUUGAAAGUUAACCAGACCAGUUUGUAAAGAAGUUUGAGAGGUAACUACAAUAAAACAUGGGAUAAUUUCAGAAACCUCCCCUGAGGUUUCUGACAGUCUCACUCACCUCCCCUGAACUUUGCAAAAUAUCAGAUACCUCCCCUGUCAGGUUAUUGGGCCCUAUUUGUGAUAUCAUUGAUGAUGAAUUGACAGAUAUACCCUUAUAACUUAUGAUAUAUUUCGAAACUAUGUUGACAGAAUUAGUUAAAUGAGUAAUACGAAUGAUUAACCAACUUAACUACAAUUUAGAUGCAAAACUAAUAGCGAAUGAUUAACCAACUUAACUAUUAUUUGCUCUUUAUCGUUGGUUUAGCUGUGCACAAAGAGCUAUUGGCUUCUACCUUCCAAAAUGCAAUAGGCACCUUGCCUUUUCCAUCAAUUUCAGAUUUCAUUGUUGUUAGAUGGUUUGUACUGUUCAACAAAAAUUAAAAGUCACUAAUGAUAAUCUUGAGGGCAGAUGUGGGAUGAAGUGUUUUUCUCUCUCCUGAUAUAUAUUUAAAAUUGUUUGUGCAUUUGAAUUGGGUGAGAUUUGAUACACUCUACUUAGUUUUAGGGGAGGUGAGUGAAACUGUCAGAAGCCUCAGGGGAGGUUUCUGAAAUUAUCCCAUAAAACAUUUAGAAAACAUGUAGCAGCCAGAGAAUGGUAUAAUGUUAUAUUAGCAUUUGUGCAGAUUUUAAGGUAAUUACAAACUAGAUGGGGUUAAAAAAGAGUAUCCACAAGUUAAGCAAUUCUCUUCUUAUAUGCUAAUCCUAACCAGCAUCUGUGGCUGAUAGUAGAAAUCAUAAUUGUCCGUAAAGCAGUGUGGUUGAAUAACAUGCCAAUAUCCUUAGCAGAUAUACAGUUGAAAUCCAAGACAACAAAGUCAACUUCCUGACUUAAGAACAAAAAUCAAUUAGCAGAGAAUCCU